GACGAACGCUGGCGGCGUGCUUAACACAUGCAAGUCGAACGGAAAGGCCCUGCUUUUGUGGGGUGCUCGAGUGGCGAACGGGUGAGUAACGCGUGAGUAACCUGCCCUUGACUUUGGGAUAACUUCAGGAAACUGGGGCUAAUACCGGAUAGGAGCUCCUGCUGCAUGGUGGGGGUUGGAAAGUUUCGGCUGUUGGGGAUGGACUCGCGGCUUAUCAGCUUGUUGGUGGGGUAGUGGCUUACCAAGGCUUUGACGGGUAGCCGGCCUGAGCGGGUGACCGGAAACAUUGGGACUGGAAUACGGCCCAGACUACUACGGGAGGCAGCAGUGGGGAAUAUUGCACAAUGGGAGGAAGCAUGAUGCAGCAAAGCGGCGUGCGGGAUGACGGCCAUGGGGUUGUAAACCGAUUUCGCCUGUGACGAAGAGUGAGUGACGGUAAUGGGUAAAGAAGCACCGGCUAACUACGUG
rnacentral:rRNA from 1 species